rnacentral:piRNA from 1 species
UGGAUCCUUACAAUGAGAUAUUUGAUGACC